UCGUGGGUAUGUAUGGACCGUUUUAAGUCUUUAGUGAUGUGGACGACAAGGAACUUGAAGUUCUCAACCCACUCCACAACAGCCUGCUCCUGCUGAAUACUGUGCUUGUGACAAGAGAUUUCACAAAGAUUUCAGCUAUAGUUCGAAUUGUAGUUCAACUAUGAUUGACUAUCAUAAAGUGUCACUUUAUGAUUGCUUUCGCUUUGGUCUUCCAGCAAUAUUGUGUAUUAGCAGAAAGCAGGAUCCCCCCAUUAUAGUGAAUUUAAGAGAAAAAUCAAUGUUCAUGUAAUAAAGUUUAGAAGACGAUUAUAAUUGCUUUCUAAUACACUAGAUGUAUGUCCUUGAACCAAUUUACUUUUAAAUCGCACACAGAAAGUUAUAAGGAUAAUUUAGUUGCUAAUGGCAGCUUGCAGUAACCUGGUCAGCCUUCAACUUGAGUUACUCAUUUACAUUUAAGUCAUUUAGCAGACGCUCUUAUCCAGAGCGACUUACAAAUUGGAAAGUUCAUACAUAUUCAUCCUGGUCCCCCCGUGGGAAUUGAACCCUGGUCCCCCCGUGGGAAUUGAACCCACAACCCUGGCGUUGCAAGCGACAUGCUCUACCAACUGAGCCACACGAGACCACGUUACUCAAUGAGGGGGCAGCAACGUCUCUUCCUGGAGUAGCUCAAAGUGUGCAUGUCUUGUCUCCAUGAGACAAUGCGCUAUUGAGUCUUCACAUGGGAGUGAAUGGUGUCACGUGAUCCAUGGCGUUGUCCUUUCAUAUAUACAGUACCAGUCAAAAGUUUGGACACGCCAACUCAUUCAAAGGUUUUCCUUUAUUUUUUACUAUUUUUUACAUUGUAGAAUAAUAGUGAAGACAUCAACUAUGAAAUAACACACAUGGAAUCAUGUAGUAACCAAAUAAGUGUUAAACAAAUCAAAAUAUAUUUGAGAUUCUUCAAAGUAGCCACCCUUUGCCUUGAUGACAGCUUUGCACACUCAUUGGCACUUCAUCACUCUCCUUCUUAGUCAAAUAGCCCUUACACAGCCUGGAGCCUUUAGUAGGGGUUUCUUUGCAGCAAUUUGACCAUGAAGUCUGAUUCACGUAGUCACCUCUGAACAGUUGAAGUCUGUUACUUGAACUCUGUGAAGCAUUUAGUUGGGCUGCAAUUUUUAAGGUUGGUAACUCUAAUGAACUUAUCCUCUACGGCACCGGUAACUCUGUCUUCCUUUCCUGUGGCAGUCCUCAUGAGAGCCAGUUUCAUCAUAGCGCUUGAUGUUUUUUGCCAUGAAACAACGUUCAAAGUUCUUGACAUUUUCCCGGAGCGGACCUCUGUUGCGGAGGAUCGGUUGAUUAGAGUUACCAGCCUCAGAAAUUGCAGUCCAAAUAAAUGCUUCACGGAGUUCAAGUAACAGAGACAUCUCAACAUCAACUGUUCAGAAGAGACUGCAUGAAUCAGACCUUCAUGGUUGAAUUGCUGCAAAGAAACCAUUACUAAAGGACACCAAUAAGAAGAGACUUGCUUGGGCCAAGAAACACGAGCAAUGGACAUUAGACCGGUGGAAGUCUGUCGUUUGGUCUGAUGAGUCCAAAUUUGAGAUUUUUGGUUCCAACUGCUGUGUCUUUGUGAGACGCAGAGUAGGUGAACGGAUGAUCUCGGCAUGUGUCGUUCCCCCCGUGAAGCAUAGAGGAGGUGUGGUGGUGUAGGCGUGCUUUACUGUUGACACUAAGUGAUUUAUUUAGAAUUCAAGGCACACUUAACCAACAUGGCUACCACAGCAUUCUGCAGCGAUACGCCAUCCCAUCUGGUUUGGGCUUAGUGGGACUAUCCUUUGUUUUUCAACAGGACAAUGACCCAAAACAUACCUCCAGGCUGUGUAAGGGCUAUUUGACCAAAAAGGAGAGUGAUGGAGUGCUGUAUCAGAUGUCCUGGCCUCCACAAUCACCCAACCUCAACCCAAUUGAGAUGGUUUGGGAUGAGUUGGACUGCAGAAUGAAGGAAAAGCAGCCAACAAGUGCUCAGCAUAUGUGGGAACUUAGUGGGCUUCACCUGGAAGCUUUAACCAGCUUCACCUGGAACUUAAUCAUUCCAGGUGAAGCUGGUUGAGAGAAUGCCAAGUGUGCAAAGCUGUCAUCAAGGCAGAGGGUGGCAACUUUGAAGAAUCUAAACGACAAAAUAUAUUGUUUUAACACUUUUUUUUUGUGUGUGUUACUUCAUGAUUCCAUAUGUGUUAUGGUGUGUGUGUGGUAGAAACCUGAGGAUGGGUAUAGAGUCUUUGCAGGUAGUCAGUGCGGUCCAAAUGGUGUCUGGGUGAGAGUGCGGGCAGUGGUAGGUAUGAGUUACAACAGCCUGCCCUAUGUAACAUUUUUAAUCCUACCAUAGUGGAGGAGGUCAUUUGAGGAGCUUUCCAUGUACCUUCCAUGGGUAAUGUUUUGUGUAUCUCUCCUACUGUAGCUCAGAUAGAAGCCCUUAUUCUGGUUUACAUAGGCUAACACAAGCCAACGGUCCCAAAAUAGGCACGGUAAUGCGGACGAGAUUAAUCACACCUACGCUACUGCCAUCGGCUUCAAGACUGAAGAUCCAUCGUUCUGUAAUUACUCCCUGUACAUUAAACAUGACUUGGUAGCACUGAGGGUAGGCCUAUUCAGUGUUGAAUAGGUAAGGGAUCGUGACUCGUUUAGCAGACUGUGUAUUCAUGACAUGCAAGGCAGGUUUCAUUUUCUAGGCUUCUCAUUCCUAAAUCCUUGAUUUGCAGGGACAGGGAUUUACUGCCUUAUGGUCCUCCUAACAGGCCUGGUGACUGAGUUCAACGUGCUACCAGACACUGCAUGGAGCCACGGCCGGCCUCAUGCUCCUAGAGUACCACAGUCGAGGUCAUAAUACCCAUAAAACCUAGCAGUCAAACACUGAAAUGGUUCCAAUCGUUUUUCCACUGUUAAUUUGUCCCGUAGGGGAUUAUAGAAACACUUCAAUGAAGGUCUGUUUUGUGUAGGCUUACCCUGGUGUGAUGUUUUGAUAACCAUGCAAAUCUCUCUCAGAUAAGGUCCCACUUUUUUUGAAUUUCUUUUGUUUGUCCCCUUUUUUCUCCCCAAUUUCGAUCUUGUCUCAUCGGAAGAGACGAAGGUCGAGUCAUGCGUCCUCCGAAACAUGACCCGCCAAACCACGCUUCUUAACACCAGCCUACGUAACCCGGAAGCCAGCCGCACCAAUGUGUCGGACGAAACACCGUUUACCUGACAACCGAGGUCAGCCUGCAGGCACCUGGCCUUCCACAAGGAGUCGCUAGAGCGCGAUAUGCCAUGUUAGGCCGGGGGGUAAAGCCCCCCGGCCUAACACGGACAACACUCAGCCUAUUGUGCGCCACCCUAUGGGACUCCCGCUCAUGGCUGGUUGUGAUACAAUCCAGGAUCGAACCCGGCUCUGUAGUGACACCCUUAGCACUGCGAUGCAGUGCCUUAGACCGCUGUGCCACUCAGGAGGCCCCGGACAAGAACCAAUGGGUGUGCCGGAGUCUCAUCACCUCUCAACUAGGCAAGCUGUUUCAACCUGGAACACUUUUCUCCUGCUUUGGUCUGUUUGUCGUUGCAGGAAGUCCUGAAGAGCUGGAGUUUAUGAAGGGUUUUGUCCCAACCCAGCUCUAACACCUGGCUUAAAUAAUCAACAUAAUAAAUCACGGUUGUAAGCUAAGAUUUGUAUUCCGAUAUGAGCUGGGCAGGAACAAAAGCUUAUACAUACUCCUGCCGUUCAGAUCGGUAAAUAUUCUGUACUAUGGGUACACAUUCUUCGCGGGGGGGGGGAUUCAUUUCGAUGGUAUUGCUCUAUAUAAUGCAUGUCACACUCAAGUUGAACUUGUUGACUGAUGCUAAGCUGGCGGCUGCUAAGAAGGGAGCAAUUGCAACUAGAAGGCAUGACUGGUCCACACCUGCCCUGUCUGUUGGAUGAGUAGUAUCGGUUGGUACUGUAUGUGCCUUUAGGUUCCUCUCUGUGUAGGCUAUUGUACAGUCUUUCAUACAGUGCCUUCUGAAACAUUUCCACAUUUUGAUAAGUUACAGCCUUAUUCUAAAAUGUAUUUGUUUUUCCCCCCUCAUCAACACAAUACUCCAUAAUGACAAAGCAAAAACAGGUUUAGAAAUUUGUGUAAUUUCAUUAAAAAUAAAACUGAAAUAACAAAUUUGCAUAAGUAUUCAGAUCCUUUACUCAGUACUUUGUUGAAGCAACUUUGGCAGUGAUUACACCCUUGAGUCUUCUUGGGUAUGACGCUAUAAACUUUGCACACCUGUAUUUGCAGAGUUUCUCCCAUUCUUCUCUGCAGAUCCUCUUAAGCUCUGUCAGGUUGGAUGGGAGCGUCGCUGCACAGCUAUUUUCAGGUCUCUCAGAGGUUCGAUCGGGUUCAAGCCCGGGCUCUGGCUGGGCCACUCAAGGACGCUCAGAGACAUGGCCCAAUGCCACUCCUGCAUUGUCUUGGCUGUGUGCUUAGGGUUGUUAUGCUGAUGGAAGGUGAACCUUCAGUCUGAGGUCCUGAGCGCUCUGGAGCAGGUUUUUAAUCAAGGAUCUCUGUACUUUGCUCCGUUCAUCUUUCCCUCGAUCCUGACUAGUGUCCCUGUCGCUGAAAAACAUCAACACAGAAUGAAGCUGCCACCACCAUGCUUCACCGUAGGGAUGGUGACAGGUUUCCUCCAGAUGUCAUGCUUUGCAUUCAGGCCAAAUAGUUCAAACUUGGUUUCAACAGACCAGAGAUUUUUGUUUCAUGUUCUGAGUCCUUUAGGUGCCUUUUGGCAAAUUCCAAGCGGGCUCUCAUGUUCCUUUUAGUGGCUUCCAUCUGGCCACUCUACCAUAAAGGCCUGAUUGGUGGAGUGCUGCAGAAAUGGUUGUCCUUCUGGAAGGUUCUCCCAUCUCCACAGGAACUUUGGAGCUCUGUCAGAGUGACUGAGUUCUUGGUCACUUCCCUGACCAAGGUCAUUCUCCCCGAUUGCUCUAGGAAGAGUCUUUUUGGUUCCAAACUUCUUCCAUUUAAGAAUGAUUCAGGCCACUGUGUUCUUGGACCUUCAAUGCUGCAGAAAUGUUUUGGUACCCAUCCCCAUAUCUGUGCCCCGACACAAUCCUGUCUCUGUUCGAGCUCUACGGACAAUUCCUUCGUCCUCAUGGCUUUGUUUUUGCUCUGACAUGCACUGUCAACUGUGGGACCUUUAUAUAGACAGGUGUGUGCCUUUCCAAAUCAUGUCCAAUCAAUUACAUUUACCACAGGUGUACUCCAAUCAAGUUGUAGAAGCUUCUCAAGGAUGAUAAAUGGAAACAGGAUGCACCUGAGUUCAAUUUCGAGUCUCAUAGCAAAGGGUCUAAAUACUUAUGUAAAUAAGGUAUUUCUUAUUGUUUUUUAACAAUUUGCCAACAUUUCUAAAAACCUGUUAUUGUUUUGUCCAUUAUGGGAUAUUGUGUGUACAGUCGUGGCCAAAAGUUGAGAAUGACACACAUUAAUUUCCACAAAGUUUGCUGCUUCAGUGUCUUUAGAUAUUUUUUCAGGUGUUACAAUGGAAUACUGAAGUAUAAUUACAAGCACUUCAUAAGUGUCAAAGGCUUUUAUUGACAAUUACAUGAAGUUGAUGCAAAGAGUCAAUAUUUGCAGUGUUGACCCUCUUUCAAGACCACUGCAAUCUGCCCUGGAAUGCUGUCAAUUAACUUCUGGGCCACAUCCUGACUGAUAGAAGCCCAUUCUUGCAUAAUCAAUGCUUGGAGUUUUUCAGAAUUUGUGGGUUUUUGUUUGUCCACCCGCCUCUUGAUAAUUGACCACACGUUCUCAAUGGGAUUACGGUUUCCUGGCCAUGGACCCAAAAUAUCGACGUUUUGCUCCCCGAGCCACUUAGUUGUCACUUUUGCCUUAUGGCAAGGUGCUCCAUCAUGCUGGAAAAGGCAUUGUUCGUCACCAAACUGUUCCUGGAUGGUUGGGAGAAGUUGCUUUCGGAGGAUGUGUUGGUACCGUUCUUUAUUCAUGGCUGUGUUCUUAGGCAAAUUGUGAGUGAGCCCACUCCCUUGGCUGAGAAGCAACCCCACACAUGAAUGGUCUCAGGAUGCUUUACUGUUGGCAUGACACAGGACUGAUGGUAGCGCUCACCUUGUCUUCUCCGGACAAGCUUUUUUCCGGAUACCCCAAACAAUCGGAAAGAGGAUUCAUCAGAGAAAAUGACUUUACCCCAGUCCUCAGCAGUCCAAUCCCUGUACCUUUUGCAGAAUAUCAGUCUGUCCCUGAUGUUUUUCCUGGAGAGAAGUGGCUUCUUUGCUGCCUUUCUUGACACCAAGCCAUCCUCCAAAAGUCUUUGCCUCGUUGUGCGUGCAGAUGCACUCACACCUGCCUGCUGCCAUUCCUGAGCAAGCUCUGUACCGGUGGUGCCCCGAUCCCGCAGCUGAAUCAACUUUAGGAGACAGUCCUGGUGCUUGCUGGACUUUCUUGGGUGACCUGAAGCCUUCUUCACAACAAUUGAACUGCUAUCCUUGAAGUUCUUGAUAAUCCGAUAAAUGGUUGAUUUAGGUGCAAUCUUACUGGCAGCAAUAUCCUUGCCUGUGAAACCGUUUUUGUGCAAAGCAAUGAUGACACACGUGUUUCCUUGCAGGUAACCAUGGUUGACAGAGGAAGAACAAUGAUUCCAGCACCACCCUCCUUUUGAAGCUUCCAGUCUGUUAUUCGAACUCAAUCAGCAUGACGGAGGGAUCUCCAGCCUUGUCCUCGUCAACACUCACACCUGUGUUAACGAGAUAAUCGCUGACAUGUCAGCUGGUCUCCUUUUGUGGCAGGGCUGAAAUGCAGUGGAAAUGUUUUUGGGGUGGGAUUCAGUUCAAUUGCAUGGCGAAGAAUUGCAAUUCAUCUGAUCACUAUAAAUAACAUUCUGGAGAAUACGCAAAUUGCCAUCAUACAAACUGAGGCAGCAGACUUUAUGAAAAUUAAUAUUUGUGUCCUUCUCAACUUUUGGCCACGACUUAAAUAUUUGAUCAAUUUUAGAAUAAGGCUGUAAUGUAACAAGGGAAGGAGUCUGAAUACUUUCUGAAUGCAUUGUAUGUGUAGUAGUUUCUCGUAUUUCUUGGUUUAUCAUUUGUCAACUUUGGGAACUUCUCUAAUCAAAAAUGUGUUAUUUUCCAUUUAAAUAUUCUUCCACUUUGUAGAUUUUUGGCAAAAAAACCCAUCCAUUUUAAUCCCUCUUUGUAACACAUCAAAAUGUGGAAGAAGUCAAAGGGUAUGAAUACUUCCUGAAGAAGCUGUAUUUAGGCAUGGGUUCCUUGUAUAUUUUUUGUCUUAAGUAUUUCUCAUUCUGCUGGAGUUUACCUAGUAUUUUAUACUGAACAAAAAUAUGAACACAACAUGCGAUCACUUCAAAUAUUUUCUGAGGUCAUGUGUUGCUACCAUGUUGUCAUUUGUAUUUAUUUUUUGCUGCUAUGUUGUUGUCUUAGGUAUUUUUGUGGUGUCUCUCUUGCCUUGGUGUGUGUGUUGUCAUUUAAAAAAAUCACAGCCAUUGUCCCCGCAGGCCUUUUGGUAGGCCGUCAUUGUAAAUAAGAAUUUGUUCUUAACUGACAUGCCUAGUUAAAUAACAUUUGAGGAAAUCAAAUUCACUAGGCCCUACUCAAUGGAUUUUACAUGACUGUAAAUACAGAUAUGCAACUGUUGUUCACAGAUACCUUGGGCCUCAGGAUCUCGUCACAGUAUUUCUGUGCAUUCAAAUUUCCAUUGAUGAAAUGCAAUUGUGUGCGUUGUCCGUCUCUUAUGCCUUCCCACACAGCGCCAUAUGUUGGAGGCGGCUCACGGUAGAGAAAUUAACAUAAAAUGAUCUGGCUUUAUUGGGCAUUCCUGCAGUCAACAUGCCAAUUGCAUGCUCCCUCAACUUGAGACAUCUGUGGCGUUGUUAUUGUCUCCAGCACAAGGUACACCUGUGUAAUGAUCAUGCUGUUUUAUCAGCUUUUUGAUUUUCCACACCUGUCACGUGGAUGGAUGAUAUUGGCAAAGGAGAAACACUCACUAAUAGGCAUGUAAACAAAUUUGUGCACAAAAUUUGAGAGAAAUAUGUUUUUUUGUGCGUUUGGAACAAUUUGUGGAUCUAUUAUUUCAGCUAAUAAAACGUGGGAUUGACACAGCUCAGUUGGUAGAGCAUGGUGCUUGCAAUGCCAAGGUUGUGGGUUCUAUUCCCACGGGGGACCUGUGCAAAAAGUAUGGAAAUAUAUACACUCAUACUCUUAUCCAGAGCAAUUUACAGUAUCUGCUAAAAUGGCUAAAUAUUGAGAUUUUUUUAAAUAUAUAUUUUUGUUCGGUGUGUUUUAAGCCUACCUUCAACAUCCAGUUAUUUCUCCAUUUGUAACUCACCCACCAAAUCACAAUAUGCCGUUUUACAUUUGGUUUUAUUUAUGCUGGUCAAAUUCCUAUCAUGGAAAAGCAGAAAAAUCUGUGCGCUUUCAGAUUAAUAAAUAAUUUAAGUUUUACUUCAAGUCAGAUGUUUAUUUUAUGUAUGCAUUGUUUACUAUUUAGAUUCAUUUAAAACAAUGUAAUUGUUGGAGUUAAGGUGUUUGACUUGCUUGAUGGAUGACUAGGUGCGUUCUUGUCAAAUAAAUAUGCUUAUUCAUU